ACAUAGUAUGUCCUUAUGGAGACACCUGCUCCCAAGGAGACCCAAGAGCAGUGUCACUGCUACUCAGGGUCCCAGAGAAGGGAAAUGUUAAUGCUCCUUCUCAGCUGCAGGACAAGGAGGAGGUCUGGCACUUCUGAAGCUGGAGGCUGUGAUCCGCAGUGGUAACUAACACAGAAAACAAGCAAUGCUUGUCCGGCACCUUGGCUGUUCCUCAGUACAGAACUGUAGCAGAAAAGAAAGAGCUGCUUGGAGGAAUACGAAGAAAUGCAUCGUUCUUAUGGACAACUGUAUCUCUGAAAAACUUAAACUUUCAUAUUGAUAUGGGAGCAGAGGAAAAAUCUGGUUUUCAAUGAAGACUGUUUGGGAAGUGAAAACAUUUUGUUCUCUGUACCCUUGUGGUACUUUCCUAGUACUUUGAAAUCUUCUAGUGAUGUUCACUUAGAAGCAAUGGCUUGCAGUAACCCUCCAGAUAAAAUAACUGUAUGCUGAUUAUAUUCUGAGAUGGUCACACUGAAGGCAGCAUAAGUGCAGCUUGCAUGACGAAGAGUGAAUUGUUGAAUUCAGUUAAAGGAAAUGCCCCAUGCUAAUUUUGACUUCUUGAGGAUCUGGGACAGAACCUUUGUGAAGUAUAAGUUUGCCCUUAUAUUUUUUUUGAAGAAAAAUACAUAUAUAUUAGCACAACUAUGGUCUAGGUCAGCAUUUCAUCUUCUGUGAUUACAUAUAUAUGAACAACCAGACUCUGAAAUAAAAUGUGUAUCCAACCAGAAGUAACACCUUCGAGAGCACCUUCUUUGAUCCUAGGAAGCUGAAUGAGAAUAGCAUUUGGAAAAAUUAGUUAGAACCUGAUGUGUUUCAGUUUGUUUUGCUUUAGAAGUCUUUUAGAAUUUCGCAAAAUAAAGUGGAGGCACAGCGAUACAUAACUUUGUUUGAGAGCCAGAACACACAUGAGAUAGUAUAACCCCUUUGAUUCAGAACUUAUUUUUCUUAGCAAGCUUUUUCAGUCUCUUGUUGCAAUGAGACCUUGCUUCUGACAAUAAUUAGGUCUGACCUUGGGGAGCCAAGGAGUCAAGUUUGUCCUGAGCUUGGUAGUGAUACUGUAUUUCAACAUUGAUUGAGAAAUGUGAAAAACAGUAAUUCUUUUUCUGUAUUUUCUUCUUUUAUCUGUCAUAUAUUUCAUUUCCAUUUUAUGUGCAUGAUGUAUAUAUGGGUACCUGACUUACUGUGAUAAAGUUAUCUUCUGUAUCAAUUUGCGAAUACCAUCUAAAGUUAUGUUUGUCUUUAGAAAAUAAUCAUAAUGCGUAGUGCUCACUGUAUUGCUCACUUAUGGAAGGAAUAAGUCUAAGCUUCUGUUCCUGUCUGGAGCCAAAUGGUUUGGAGUACUUAACAUCAGAGUUAAUGGUUUUAUUUAGGUGUUUUCUGGCAAUACCAUACAGCCAGGAUAACAAAUAUUUUUGACCACAGUUUAUGCAAUGCUUUCUGCUGCAAGCAUGGGUGCUAAAGGAUUUAGGAAGAUCCAACAGUUCUGUGGGUUUCUUGGUUUAACUUUCUGUUUGUGUAUAGUAAAAUAUUUCAUUUGA